rnacentral:rRNA from 1 species
GUGUCAGCAGCCGCGGUAAUACGUAGGGCGCAAGCGUUAUCCGGAAUUAUUGGGCGUAAAGAGCUCGUAGGCGGUUUGUCGCGUCUGCUGUGAAAGACCGGGGCUCAACUCCGGUUCUGCAGUGGGUACGGGCAGACUAGAGUGCAGUAGGGGAGACUGGAAUUCCUGGUGUAGCGGUGAAAUGCGCAGAUAUCAGGAGGAACACCGAUGGCGAAGGCAGGUCUCUGGGCUGUAACUGACGCUGAGGAGCGAAAGCAUGGGGAGCGAACAGGAUUAGAUACCCCCGUAGUCC